rnacentral:lncRNA from 1 species
UUUUUCUAUUAAAAUUUGUUCAUGGAAGCUCAAUUUCCAUAUGUCAAAUGGCACUAUAUAUUGAAGAGAUCUUAAAGAAAUCUUUUUUACCAAUCUUAUUUACCAAAUUUACCAAGUAUAAUUUAGCAUUACUUUUCCAUUGGAUAAAUUACAUUUUGAUAAAAUUAAUGAGCUUGAAUUAAUAAAUUUCCAAAAGUCACAAUUUAAAAUAUUUUUAAUACCAAAACUUUAUACAUAAUAUUUCAUGUGUCACAAAAUCAUAGGCCUAUAGCAAAUAUAAUAUGCCUUGAGUGAACAAUAAAAACUUCAUAUACUUUCAUUGUAGAUCUGGACUGUAGGUGAAACCCAAUAUAUAAGCUGUAUAGUUCUCUAAUCAAAGAAAAUAUGUGUCAUUAUGGUUUUAGGAAAAAAUAUAUAUCUAAGUUGAUACUAUUCUUCAUAGUAAAGCCUCAAGUUCAAAUCUAUUGCUAGGAGCCAGUGCACUGGCUCACACUUUUGAAUUUCUACCUAAUUUGAAAAAUACAAUUGAGGUAUUUGGAGUAUUAUAGUACUUGCUAUUAAAAGCCACUACAAUUGUAUAUAUUUGACUGUGAUAUGUUGUUUUGAAAAUGGAAAAAACAUUGACAUAUAAGCCUAUAUUUUACUUGCCAAAAAAGCUGAUUAAAUGUUGGCACCUGACAGUAUUUCUAGAGAGUGUUAUUUCUUCCAUAGAUUCAGACCCCAAAAAGUUAUAUAACAAUUUGAAAGAUUAAUAUGAUAUGCCCUGAAAACUUGUAAUAAACUGGCAACUGUUCUUUUGGGAUGUGAUUCCCAUUUAAUAGAGGCAUACUCUCAAAAAACAUUUUCUGAAAUAACUCACAAGGUCCAAUGGAUAGUGACAACAUUUUGUAUCAAGUAGUCCGUUAGUCCUAAAUCCAUUCAUUCAUUCGACUAACUUUUUUUCAUUGCCUUUGUGCCUUCCCAGGUUUCAAGGUCAUUUAUCCAUUCAACAAAUAUUGCAGCAUGGCUAUUUAGCAAUGUUCCAGAUGCUAAACAUGUAAUUACAAAUUUUUAAAGAGUGAUUACAUACUAUGAUGAAAAAUAAUGGAAUGAGGAGGAGAAAGUUCCUACAUAGCAAAGGUAGUCAGGAAGGCCAAGAGGAAAGGUCUCCAGAGGCAAUGUGUGGAAUGGGAAUUAGAAAAUGAGAAUGACCUAGCCAUGGGAAGAAGAGCAUUUGGUUUCUCCACUAGCAUGUGAAGAACUCAAGGCAGAAAGAUACUCAGCAUACUGGAAACAGUAAGUGGAGCCCAGCACUGCAAUAGUAUAGCCAGAGAUCAAGGGAGGAAGGAUCUGGGGCCAGCUGGGAUGGAAGAGCAAGAAACUCACUGCUCAAGGACUUACAGGCCAUGGUGAAGAGUUUUUAUCUUAUUUCCAGGGCAGUAGAAAGGAUAGGAUAGUAUAGGAUAGGAUAGAUAGGAUCUCUCAGGAAUGAAACACUCUGUGAAAUUUUUUUAACCUCCAAAAAUUCUGGGAACUUUGGUUAUAACCCAAUGUAUGAAGCAGCAGUUGUUAACAAUAUCAAAUGCAAUCCUAUAUGAUUAUUUGGGGAAUAAUUCAGGUCUCCUGAAUUUUCUCAACUGAAAAUUGCAUACUUUGGAUAUGAGUUUAUGGCUUUUGUUCCCUGGAACUACUGGAACAAGUAUCUUCCUGAAAGCAAAUGCUAACUUGGUUUGCUUCAGCUAAUAGGUGAGGUACUUGCUUUUGGAAGCAAAGAUAGGUAACGUUCCCUAUAAGAACAGUUUUAUCCUAUGAGUUUGACUAUUCACAUAGUAAAACAAAUUCAUCAAUGAGAUUGUUUCAUUUAAUUGUAUCAGCUGUUUAAAUAUCCAACUGAAUAGUUUAAGGGCAUCACAAUGCAUUAAAAGGAUUGAAUAAGGUAUUUUGAGUCUAUUAAAAACUGUUGAAUAGUAUACGUUUAUAGAUUACUUCUUUAUAUUAGAAAUACAAACAUUAUUUUUAGUGAAGAGUAAGAAUAUUCAAAUAAAAUAUCAUUUAAGUUUUAAGAUUUUUUUAAGUUAACUGAUUAGCUCUCCUUUGGGAAGAUAAAAAUAUGUUCUUUAAAACCAAAAGGGGGGAGUUCUGUUGUGGCUCAAGGGAAACAAAUCUGACUAGUAUCCAUGAGGGUACAGGUUCAAUCCCUGACCUCGCUUGGUGGGCAAAGGAUCUGGUGUUGCCAUGAGCUGCAGUGUAGUUCAGCAGACAUGGCUUGAAUCCUGUGUUGCUGUGUCUGUGGCAUAGGCCAGAGGGUACUGCUCCAAUUAGACCCCUAGCCUGGGAACCUCCAUGUGCUGUGAGUGCAGCCCCCCCAAAAAAAGGAGCUCUAAAGAUUGGAUAAGCUGUUGGAAUCAAUAUUAGUAAGCUAAAACCAAAACCACAACUUUGAAAUUAAUAAAACACUACUAUUAAGCUAAAUUACAAGGUGUUUCUGCUGACUGAGAUAUUUAAUCACAAGUUUUAUUGUACUUUUUUAGCUCCUUAAAGACAAAUCAUUACAGCACUGUGAAUUCUAGAUAUUAAAACACAUGAUUAAUAGCAACAUGCUUUAAAAUUACCAUGGAAGUGCUGUAGUUGACAUUUUUAAUUGGGGCUUCCCUUAGUGAAUUUAUCACCAAACAAAUAUCUUUCGUCUCUUAAAAGAAUAAUAUCUAGAUUCACCCCUUCCUGGAGAUUUAUAUUUAACCAUGUGAAAGAUGAAAAUAAGGCUACGAGGAAUGCUUAAUACAUGUGCAUGUAGGAUUUUUCACUUAAUGUCGAGAGUGCACUUUUAUAAAUGCAUUCAAUAUUUUGGUUUCCAUUAAAAGUGUUUUGAUAUGAGUGAUCUAGACUUCUUUUUAUAUACUGAAAUGCCUUUUAAAUGUCCAAUCUGAUAAAGCAAAUUAAAAGUGAGAGAGUUAAAACUGUCACUUUAUAUAAGACCUUAUCAAUUUUAUGUAAAUAUCAACACACUACAUUAAAAGUUCUUUACUAAGGUAACUGCCUAUGAGACAGCAGAUCACUAAGUAAGUUUUGAGACAGACCUCCUUGUAAGAAUAUCAAAAUAGGUGACCCUGAACACACCGAAACUAUAAAUAAGGCUUGGAACGAGGAGUUGUGAGAGGGUUUUCUGAAGAAGAUUUCUCUGAGGAAUGCAAAUCUUCCCCUCCAGUCAAUUUUAGUGAAGCAGUUUCUGUAGGCACACCUUGACUUUGACUCCUGACUGGACAGUGACCAAUGACACACGCGGAUGAGCUAUCUGCUUUAGCGUCAGAUUUAAGGAGCGCUCCCCACAAGGUUGAUAUUUGCUUGAAUGUCCAGAGUUCGUUACUACAAAGAAUGUAUGAGUAUGAACCAUGGGACUAUAUAACUCCAGCAUGAAGAGGAGCUGUCUAAAGGAGCCCUUGGGAGGGUUAUGGAGGGCAUGAGAGUGUGUGGAAUAGAUGCCCCCAACAUGCAAGCUGACAGUAGUGCAGCUAAAAAAAAAACCUAUUCCCCAAUGCACAGGAAGUGUAUUUGACUGUUCUCAGUGGGGACCUCUAAUGUGCAUCCAAAAGCACCCUAAGAGAUUAAACUGACUACCUACCCUAAGAUAGUGGGAAGCCAGCUGAAGAAAAUAGUCAAAGGAGAACUUCCUUAUAUCCUAACUUCUGCCUAUUGCAACUUUGAUAUUGUGUUUUAGAAACUGCCCUUAGAGAGAUGCUGGAGGAGCAAUGCAAGGCCUAGAUGGAGAAGGACAGACGGUUUUCCCUUUUUCUCCCUUGGCCAUGGAAUAUUAGCUGUAGCAGAAAUGAGUUUAGAUGGAUAGGCAGCAGUCAGUUAUGCAAUACCUCUAGGACAUUUAAGAACAUAAACUUUGUGUUUUACUGCAUCUAUAGGUUCACAACAAAACUGAGUGGAGGGUACCAAGAUUUCCCAGUACUCCCUUCCCCUACAGUCAUAGCCUCCCUCAUUAUCAAUAUCUCUCAUCAGAAUGGAACAUUUCCUACAAAUGAUGGGCUUACACCGACACAUUAUUAUCACCCAAGUGCAUUAGGAUUCAUUCUUUGCAUUGAGCAAUCUCUGGGUUUCGGCAAAUGUAUAAUAACAUCUAUCAACCAUUAUUGUUUCAUACCAUAUAUUAUAUGAUACAUAUAUGGUGCAUGUAUGAUACUAUGAUAGUGAAUACAUGUCUUCACACAUACCAUAGUAUUAAAAUAUAGAAUAGCUCCACCACUCUAAAAUUCUCUGUGCUCUGCCUAGUCAUCACUAGCCCCUGGCAACUACUGAUCUUUUUAUUGUUUCCAUAGUUUAAUCUUCUCCAGAAUGCCAUAAAGUUGAAAUCAUAUAGUAUGUAACCCUUUUUCAGAUUGGCUUCUUUUACUUAGUAAUAUACAUUCAAGUCUUUUCAUGACUUGAUAGCUCACUUAGUUUUAGCAUUGAGUAAUAUUCCAUUACUGACAUGACGGAAUUUAUGAUUUAAAAAAUAUAAUCCCAGCUUAUUUAUGGGGAAAAGGUUAGAGAGGGAUAAGAAUAAAUUUCAAGAAAACAGUUGGGAUGCUAGUGCAAUUGCUCUGGUAUGAGAGGAGAAAGCCACAUUCUGGGGUGGCAGCAAUGGAGAUAAACUGAAUAAGAUGAUUUAAGACUAUGUCUAUGAGGUAAAAGUAGUAGUACUUGUCGAUGAAUCAGACUUGGGAAAUUAUAGAAAGAGGGGUCAAGAAUGACUUCUGGAUCUUUGGCUUGAGCAAUUGGAUGGAUGAGGGUAUUUAACAAGGGUGGGUGGUGAAACAAGGCUGGAGGUCCCACUGGAAUAGCUUGAUUCCAAGCCAAAAAUUCAGCCCCUCAGAAAAUUCUAUUAGAGGGAUAUAAAAAUCCUCACCAAACAUAAAUCUCAUUUCCUUUUCCUUGCAGAUUGUUGGCCACUCCUCCUAGGCUCCAGGGAUAUGAAUAAUGCCCUUAAUAAUGUCAGAUAAUUUCCAUCGGUCCUUAAUUGCCCACUGAUCUGUUUCCCUGUCUUAACCAUCUUCUUGAUGGUGUUCCCAGCCACUACUAAACUUAACAUUUUACAGCCAGCAAUACUAUCAUUUUCCCUUUUUUCAAACUUUUCAUUUUUUGUUUUUUGCAAACUUCUAUUAUUUGCAAACACUUAUAUCAGGUAAAAUGGUCAAAGUUGUUUGUUGGAACCCUAAAUAAAUAGCAUAAAAGAUGCCAUAAUAGACUGCUAGCAUCAUUUACAGUAGGUUGUAUUCAUAGCUAUGUAUUCAUAGCUUUGGCUAACAUUGUAUGUAGCCCAUCACAUUAGUGCCCAUGGAUUAAAAGCUUAAAAGAGAAUUCAGAACAUAUAAAUAAUAAGCUAUAAUACUCUUUCUAUAUACAUUUUAAUUUUUUAUAAAAAUUAUUGAGAGACUAAUAGUAUUAAAAUCAGUCAGCGAUCAAUGUUAGUUUCUUGGUUUUGAUAAUAGGACUAUGGUUACAGAAGGUUAAUAUUGGGGGAAGCAGAGUCAAGAAUAUAUGGAAACUUGGAUAAGCAAUGAGAUCCUGUAGCACUGGGAACUAUAUCUAGUCACUUGUGAUGGAACAUGAUGGAGGAUAAUAUCAGAAAAAGAAUGUAUAUAUGUGUGUGUGUGUAUGUGUCUGUGUGUAUGUGUGUGUGAAUGAGUCACUUUGCUGUACAGUAGAAAAUUGACAGAGCACUGUAAACCAACUAUAAUGGAAAAAAUAAAAAUCAUUAAAGUCACAUAAAAAAGAAUAUAUGGAAACUCUAUGUACUAUUUUGUAACAUUUCUGUAGGUCUAAUAUUAUCUCAAAAUAAAAAGUUAAAAAGUAUAUCAUAAUUUCCAGGGCAAGGUUAAAAGGAAAAUAUAUAUACAAGAUAUCUGAAAAAGACAGGUAUUCAAAUAUCAACAUUAUAGGGUUUUAACUCAGUAUUAUGUCUUUACUUAUUCUUGAUUUAAUGCAUGAGUUCACUUACAGCCAGAAAUCAAAUCUAAUUAAAUUAUCUUAAAAUAGAAUGGGAAUAUGUAAUAAAUAUAUGACCACAUAAAAUGUCUUGAAGCUUAAUAAAUAAACUGGAAUUAAAAUUAACUUAAAAAUUUGCAAAGGAGCUACAAAUCCACUGUAAAUAUAAAGAAAAACUUGCUUUACAUUAUAGAUAUUUUGCCCUUGUUCUUAGGAAAAAAAAAUUAUAAAAAUUAUAAAUUCCCUGAAUUCAAAGAAGGUAUCUUUUAGAUUUACCCAAUAUAUUCAACACAAAAUCAUUUUUCUGUUUACUCAGGUACAAAGUUUCAGAGUCCUCCUUAACUCUUUCUUCUCCAUUUUUUUCUUUCAUCUGAACAGUUCCUGUGUCAUGCCAAGCCUUCAUCUUCAUUAUCUUCGCUUUUAUCUCAUGUUCCUCUAAGAUCCCACACAAGAAUAUUCUUCUAAAUACCAUACUUAUUUUUCCUGACUCAAAUGAUCCAUUUUUACAUAUAUGAGACCGAUCAUUUAUUAAAAAUUAUAGAUCUGGUCAUGUUCAAAAGCUUUCAAAUAGGAGUUCCUGUCGUGGCGCAGUGGAAAGGAAUCCAACUAGGAAUCAUGAGGUUGCGGGUUCUAUCCCUGGCUUUGCUCAGGGGAUGAAGGAUCUGGUGUUGCUGGGACCUGUAGUGUAGGUUCCAGACACAGCUUGGAUCCAGUGUUGGAGUAGGCCAGUGGCUACUGCUCCAUUUCAACCCCUGGCCUGGGAACCUCCAUAUGCCGCAGGAGCGGCCCUAGACAAAAGACAAAAAAAAAAAAAAAAAAAAAAAAAAAAGAAAUAUGACUUAAUUAUAAUUGGUUCUCCGUUAUAGAAACCAUAUGUCUCAUUUAUUCUGCAUACUGUUCAAAUUUCCAAAUGAAGGAAAGCACAACCUAUACACCUAUCUUCAGUCCACCUUUUUUAGAAUACUAUUCUGUCACUGUAUUUACCAUCUAAUAUUUAUUGGCCCCUGCAUAUGGUUGUUUGGGCAGUACUCUCUAAAAGGGACACUGGCCAGGAAGGUGAGUAAGGCUGAAAUCAAUCUUGUACUCUGCUCACCAAACUAUG